AUUUCAUGGUGGGGGCAUAACUUGAGAAUUUCUUUUAAUCUCUCUCAUGCUUCUUCUUAUAGAAAUUCCUCUUCCUUAUGAGUAAAGAUCAUUGUUUGACUUCUUAACUU